rnacentral:rRNA from 1 species
CGUCGCAAGCUUACCCUGCGAGGGAUUAAUAGUAAGCAAAAUGGAAACAUCCAAAAACGUCAGGUCGAGGUGUAGCUUACGAGGUGGGAAGAAAUGGGCUACAUUUUCUAUUACAGAAUAUUACGGAAGAUCCUGUGAAACCCGGAUCCCAAGGUGGAUUUAGCAGUAAAGAAUAAAUAGAGCGUAUUUUUGAAUCAGGCUCUGAAAUGCGUACACACCGCCCGUCACUCUCUCUUUCCAUUACUCAACUGUGUAAUUAACAAAAAUUAAACCAAAUGAUUAGGGGAGACAAGUCGUAACAUGG